UACGUAGGUGGCAAGCGUUGUCCGGAUUUACUGGGUGUAAAGGGCGUGUAGCCGGGUUGACAAGUCAGAUGUGAAAUCCUGCGGCUUAACCGCAGAACUGCAUUUGAAACUGCAGGACUUGAGUGAAGUAGAGGUAGGCGGAAUUCCCGGUGUAGCGGUGAAAUGCGUAGAGAUCGGGAGGAACACCAGUGGCGAAGGCGGCUUCCUGGUCUGCAACUGACACUGAGGCGCGAAAGCGUGGGGAUCAA
rnacentral:rRNA from 1 species